rnacentral:tRNA from 1 species
GGAGGGUUGCCAGAGCGGACGAAUGGGACGGUCUCGAAAACCGUUGUGGUUGCAAGGCCACCGUGGGUUCAAAUCCCACACCCUCCGCCA